CUGUUAAUGCUAAUCGUGAUAGGGGUUUUACCUCUGACUGACUCCUACAUGUUAGCAUUAACAG
ensembl:miRNA MIR155 microRNA 155